AGUGAACGCUGGCGGCGUGCCUAAUACAUGCAAGUCGAACGGAGUGGCGCACGGGUGAGUAAUAUAUAGCUAAUCUGCCCCUUGCUGGAGGACUACAGUCAGAAAUGACUGCUAAUACUCCAUAGCAAGGGAUGGGACUAUAUCUGAUCAGCUAGUCGGUGGGGUAACGGCCUACCGAGGCUAUGACGCGUAACUGGUCUGAGAGGAUGAUCAGUAACAUUGGAACUGAGACACGGUCCAAACUCAUACGGGAGGGAGCGGUAGGGAAUAUUGGGCAAUGGGGGAAACCCUAACGCAGCAACGCCGCGUGAAGGAUGACAAUUUUCGGAGCGUAAACUCCUUUUGUUAGGGAAGCGGUACCUAAAGAAUAAGCACCGGCUAACUCCGUGCCAGCAGCCGCGGUAAUAC
rnacentral:rRNA from 1 species